rnacentral:rRNA from 1 species
UACGUAGGUCCCGAGCGUUGUCCGGAUUUAUUGGGCGUAAAGCGAGCGCAGGUGGUUUGUUAAGUCUGGUGUAAAAGGCAGAGGCUCAACCAUUGUAUGCAUUGGAAACUGGUAGACUUGAGUGCAGGAGAGGAGAGUGGAAUUCCAUGUGUAGCGGUGAAAUGCGUAGAUAUAUGGAGGAACACCGGUGGCGAAAGCGGCUCUCUGGCCUGUAACUGACACUGAGGCUCGAAAGCGUGGGGAGCAAACAGG